CUGAAGAAUCUGCUCUGGGAAGGGGCUGCUGCACCUGGUAGUGACCGUCUUUAAUUCUGGCUCUGGUGAUCCCUGCUUGUCAUUUGUGCUUUCUGAUCACUAAAAAGCUUCCUUGCCUGGAAGGAAGCCAUUGACGCGACAAGCAGGCUCUUAUCCAGGGCUUCUUAUCAUCAGCCAGAGGAGCCUGCGCUGGAAAUGAAAUUCCGAGCUGGAAAUGAAAUUCCGAGCCACAACAAGGAAAGACUGCUUCCUUAAUUGAGCCUCUCCCUUUUGAAGUCGUCUCCCCACAGAGCCCGGAGCUGGCAGGUCCUUUGGCCAGCAUAACCCCUAUGUAAUCUCUUGCUCACCAGAAGCAGAUGCUGCACGGAGAGGGAGGCCUUUAUGAAAGGCGUUAAAUAAGGUUUCUCAGCCUUGCACAUGCCGGCCAGGCAGAGGGAGGGCCGUUUUUCAGAAAAGCAACUGAUCAAAGACAUCAAGAUUCUGGCACUUAGGGUUUUCUUGUCAAUACACCUCAGUCAGGAUUCUGAAGUGGGGGUUCUAGCACUCUGAACGUCUUCCCAUUCAGUCUUGCU
ensembl:lincRNA Gm28055 predicted gene 28055